rnacentral:rRNA from 1 species
AACGAACGCUGGCGGCAUGCCUAACACAUGCAAGUCGAACGAGAUCUUCGGGUCUAGUGGCGCACGGGUGCGUAACGCGUGGGAAUCUGCCCUUUGGUUCGGAAUAACAGUUGGAAACGACUGCUAAUACCGGAUGAUGACGAAAGUCCAAAGAUUUAUCGCCAGAGGAUGAGCCCGCGUAGGAUUAGCUAGUUGGUGUGGUAAAGGCGCACCAAGGCGACGAUCCUUAGCUGGUCUGAGAGGAUGAUCAGCCACACUGGGACUGAGACACGGCCCAGACUCCUACGGGAGGAAGAAGGGGGGAAUAUGGAACAAUGGGGGAAAGCCUGAUCCAGAAGUGCCGCGUGAGUGAUAAAGGCCUUAGGGUUGUAAAGCUUUUUUACCCGGGAUGAUAAUGACAGAACGGGGAGAAUAAGCUCCGGCUAACUCCGUGCCAGCCGCCGCCGUAA